AGGAACGCCACUGCACUGCACGCCGCCCUUGUUGGUCGAUGGUCACGCCAAGCUCUGGCCGCCCCCGUGCUUGCAGCGCCCGCCGGGAGGCCCUGGCUGCGCACGUCGUCGUGGAACGCCAUGUGCAGGCCCGUGCUCGCGGCGCCCGCCGGGAUGGCCUGGUCGCGCCCGCGCUCAUGGUGGUGCCCUGUGGUGGAGCGCCCUCGCCGCACCUGUGCUGGAGGCGGUGUGCUAGGGCCUCGUCGCGCCGCACGCGCACAAGAAAAAUUGGGGCCCGUCACCGACGACUACCCCAGCACUACCAACGAUUUUGACUCCGGCGGCGCGGGGAACGACCAGAUCCAGAGCGUAGGGAGGCGGGGAAGGUCUAGGGCAAGGCAGGAGCCUGCCGCCCGAGCCGCCCGCAACACGGUGGUACGCGAAGGAAUCAAUCUGCCCCGGCCAGCAGCAGGAUGGGGGGAGUGUGAUCCAGUGCUUGCGCCGGCGAGGCAGAGGCCUCAGGCUCAACCACAACCGGCAAUGGCGACGGUGGCCUCUGCCUCGGCCCGAGUAGGACGGGUCGCGACCACAGGCUCAACCGUGGCCAGCAACGGCGACGGUGGCCUCUGCCUCGGCCGAGGGCAGGACGGGCGGCGGCCACAGGGUUGAUCACAGUCGGCAAUGGGUCUGUCCCACCGGAGUGGGCCGGCGACAAGAAGAGAAAUACGUAGGAAGGAAGGAGAGGAGAGAGGAGAUAAGAGGUGUGGCUUGCAGGUGGGUCCCUGUCCACCUUAGCAAGUCAAACAUCAACUAGGACUAGUCUUUGCCACAUCAGCACAGACAUAUAGGUCCCACCUAGUAGUUUUGUUGUUAGUCACGACUCAAGUCUGAUUUAGUAUGAUUUGUUACUCACUUGACGCAAAAGUGAUGGUCAUUUAUGAUUUUUGACAAAAAUGAUGGUUUUGAGAUACCCUAGCC
rnacentral:rRNA from 1 species